rnacentral:rRNA from 1 species
AUGACCUCGGAUCAGGUAUGGAUACCCUGCUGAACUUAGAGCAUAUCAAUAAGCGGACUGAAAACAAACCAACAUGGAUUACCUCAGUAACGGCGAUGGAAUGGACAUUCAAUCCGUAUCACGGCGUUGAGCAGCAUGAGACGAAGCGUUGUU